rnacentral:rRNA from 1 species
GAUGAACGCUAGCGGCAGGCCUAACACAUGCAAGUCGAGGGGUAGAAAGGAGCUUGCUCUUUUUGAGACCGGCGGAUGGGUGAGUAGCGCGUAUGCAAUCUGCCCUCUACAGGGGAAUAGCCCAGGGAAACUUGGAUUAAUGCCCCAUGGUAUUAUUAAUCGGCAUUGAUUUUUAAUUAAAGAUUUAUCGGUAGAGGAUGAGCAUGCGUCUCAUUAGCUAGUUGGUGUGGUAACGGCACACCAAGGCAGCGAUGAGUAGGGGCCCUGAGAGGGGGAUCCCCCACACUGGUACUGAGACACGGACCAG